rnacentral:rRNA from 1 species
GAUGAACGCUGGCGGCGUGCUUAACACAUGCAAGUCGAACGGGAAAUCUUUCAUUGAGACUUCGGUGGGUUUGAUUUAUUUCUAGUGGCGGACGGGUGAGUAACGCGUGGGUAACCUGCCUUAUACAGGGGGAUAACAGUCAGAAAUGGCUGCUAAUACCGCAUAAGCGCACAGAGCUGCAUGGCUCAGUGUGAAUAACUCCGGUGGUAUAAGAUGGACCCGCGUUGGAUUAGCUAGUUGGUGGGGUAACGGCCCACCAAGGCGACGUUCCAUAGCCGGCCGGAGAGGGGGAAAGGCCACAUUGGGACUGAGACACGGCCCAGACUGCGACGGGAGGGAGCAGUAGGGAAUAUUGCAGAAUGGGGGAAACCCUGAUGAAGCGACGCCGCGUGAAGGAAGAAGUAUCUCGGUAUGUAAACUUCUAUCAGCAGGGAAGAUAGUGACGGUACCUGACAAAGAAGCCCCGGCUAACUACGUG